rnacentral:rRNA from 1 species
GAUGAACGCUGGCGGCGUGCUUAACACAUGCAAGUCGAACGGGAAACCUUUUAAUGCAGCUUCGGCAGAUUUAGCUGGUUUCUAGUGGCGGACGGGUGAGUAACGCGUGGGUAACCUGCCUUAUACAGGGGGAUAACAGUCAGAAAUGACUGCUAAUACCGCAUAAGCGCACAGGACCGCAUGGUCCGGUGUGAAAAACUCCGGUGGUAUAAGAUGGACCCGCGUUGGAUUAGCUUGUUGGUGGGGUAACGGCUCACCAAGGCGACGAUCCAUAGCCGGCGUGAGAGGGGGAACGGCCACAUUGGGACUGAGACACGGCCCAGACUCCUACGAGAGGCAGCAGUGGGGAAUAUUGCACAAUGAGGGAAACCCUGAUGCAGCGACGCCGCGUGAAGGAAGAAGUAGCUCGGUAUGUAAACUUCUAUCAGCAGAGAAGAUAGUGACGGUACCUGACUAAGAAGCCCCGGCUAACUACGUG